rnacentral:lncRNA from 1 species
GGGAACGAGAUGAAAACGGUCCAGGGGCUGCCGCCCAUGCGGGGGAGCAUUGCAGCUUCAAGGUCAGUUGGUAAGUACUACAUCCUGGUUUUCUGUCAGUAUCACGGCUGAUUUUUUGUCAUCAUUAGUAUUAUAAUAUUGGACUGAAGCUCGUUAGCUCUGUCCAUGUUGGAUUUUUGGUAUGAUCUGUAUACUGAUAUUGGACUGAAGCUUGUUACCUCUGUCCAUGCUGGUUUUUUUGUCAUCAUUAGUAUAGUGAUAUAUUGGACUGAAGCUGCACAUAUUUUCUUUCCAUUAACGUUGGUCGGGCGGUGCUACGCGUCAGUCGGGGCAUCCUGGCCACCUUACCCGCCUGAUUUUAAUAUAUGCGUCAGUCGGGGCAUCCUAGCCACCUUACCCGCCUGAUUUUAAUCAAAUUCCACCUAAUUUGUUUUGUCACUAGCUGCGUAUACAAACGUGAGCUCCGGAACUCUGUUGCAGCAUGGG